CAAGUCGAACGCGAAAGUUCCCUUCGGGGGGCGAGUAGAGUGGCGCACGGGUGAGUAACACGUAGGUAAUCUACCUUUGGAUUGGGAAUAACAACCGGAAACGGUUGCUAAUACCGAAUAAUGCAGCGGCACCUAAUGGUGACAGUUGUUAAAGCGGGGGAUCGCAAGACCUCGCGUCUGAAGAGGAGCCUGCGGCAGAUUAGCUAGUUGGUAAGGUAACGGCUUACCAAGGCGAUGAUCUGUAGCCGGCCUGAGAGGGCGGUCGGCCACACUGACACUGACAUACGGGUCAGACUCCUACGGGAGGCAGCAGUCGGGAAUUUUGGGCAAUGGGCGAAAGCCUGACCCAGCAACGCCGCGUGAAGGAUGAAAUCCUUCGGGAUGUAAACUUCGCAAGAACGGGAAGAAUAAGUAAGGGUUAAUAUCCCUUAUGAUGACGGUACUGUUUGUAAGCUCCGGCUAACUCCGUGCCAGCAGCCGCGGUAAUACGGGGGGAGCAAGCGUUGUUCGGAUUUACUGGGCGUAAAGGGCGCGUAGGCGGCCACCGCAAGUCGGUUGUGAAAUCUCCGGGCUUAACCCGGAAAGGUCAAUCGAUACUGCGGGGCUAGAGUGCAGAAGGGGCAACUGGAAUUCUCGGUGUAGCGGUGAAAUGCGUAGAUAUCGAGAGGAACACCUGCGGCGAAGGCGGGUUGCUGGGCUGACACUGACGCUGAAGCGCGAAAGCUAGGGGAGCGAACGGGAUUAGAUACCCCGGUAGUCCUAGCCUUAAACGAUGAAUGCUUGGUGUCUGGGGUUUUAUAGUCCCCGGGUGCCGUCGCUAACGCUUUAAGCAUUCCGCCUGGGGAGUACGGUCGCAAGACUGAAACUCAAAGGAAUUGACGGGGACCCGCACAAGCGGUGGAGCAUGUGGUUUAAUUC
rnacentral:rRNA from 1 species